AACAAGUACUGUGAAGGAAAGAUGAAAAGAACUUUGAAAAGAGAGUUAAAAGACUUGAAAUCGUUGAGAAGGAAGCGGUAGAAGAGUAAUUAUUCGGCCGCGAUUUGCGGUGCGUGAGCUGUCGGGCCGCCCGGCCGGUACAGUACUUCAUCGGGCUUGCCGGCCGGAGCGGUCACCGGGCUCUGCGCCGCUGUUCGCGGCCGAGAGGCAGGGUGAGGUCGUGCUGUGGGACUCACCGGGGGGUGUCGGCGGCGGGGGCUUGUCCCCCGCCAGCCCUCCUCGGAAAACCACGGCGCGGCCUGAGGGGCCUUCGGGCGACCCUGCCAAAAUGGCUUUUACCGACCCGUCUUGUAACACGGACCAAGGAGUCUACCCAGUAUGCGAGUGUGCGGGUGGAGAAACCCAUACGCGCAAUGAAAGUGAGUACAAGAUGCCACCACAAGGGCAGCAUCGUCCGACCUUGAUCUUCUGGGGAAGGGUUCGAGUAAGAGCAUAUUUGUUAGGACCCGAAAGAUGGCGAACUAUGCCUGCAUAGGGUGAAGCCAGAGGAAACUCUGGUGGAGGCUCGUAGCGAUACUGACGUGCAAAUCGUUCGUCAAAUGUGGGUAUAGCGGCGAAAGACUAAUCGAGCUGUCUAGUAGCUGGUUCCCUCCGAAGUUUCCCUCAGGAUAGCUGGAGCUCUUUGGUCAGUAGUUUUAUCAGGUAAAGCGAAUGAUUAGAGGACUCGGGGAUGAAACAUCCUUGACCUAUUCUCAAACUUUAAAUGGGUAAGAUACCCCGGUUGCUUUAUUGAACUGGGGCUUAGAAUGCCGGGCUCUUAGUGGGCCAUGCCUGGUAAGCAGGACUGGCGCUGUGGGUUGAACUAAACGUCGGGUUAGGGUGCCCAAUUCUCGGCUAAUGGACCCUACAAAAGGUGUUGUUUCAUGAUGACAGCCGGACAGUGGCCAUGGAAGCCGGCACCUGCUAAGAAGUGCGUAACAGCUUACCGGCCGAAUGAAGCAGCCCUGAAAAUGGAUGGCGCUUAAGCGGGGAACC
rnacentral:rRNA from 1 species